AGUGAACGCUGGCGGUAGGCCUAACACAUGCAAGUCGAACGGCAGCACAGUAAGAGCUUGCUCUUACGGGUGGCGAGUGGCGGACGGGUGAGGAAUACAUCGGAAUCUACUUUUUCGUGGGGGAUAACGUAGGGAAACUUACGCUAAUACCGCAUACGACCUACGGGUGAAAGCAGGGGAUCUUCGGACCUUGCGCGAUUGAAUGAGCCGAUGUCGGAUUAGCUAGUUGGCGGGGUAAAGGCCCACCAAGGCGACGAUCCGUAGCUGGUCUGAGAGGAUGAUCAGCCACACUGGAACUGAGACACGGUCCAGACUCCUACGGGAGGCAGCAGUGAGGAAUAUUGGACAAUGGGCGAAAGCCUGAUCCAGCCAUACCGCGUGGGUGAAGAAGGCCUUCGGGUUGUAAAGCCCUUUUGUUGGGAAAGAAAAGCAGAAGGUUAAUACCCCGCUGUUCUGACGGUACCCAAAGAAUAAGCACCGGCUAACUUCGUG
rnacentral:rRNA from 1 species